GACGAACGCUGGCGGCGUGCUUAACACGUGCAAGUCGAACGAUGAACCCGGAGCUUGCUCCGGCGGAUUAGUGGCGAACGGGUGAGUAACACGUGAGUAACCUGCCCUUGACUCUGGGAUAACUGCUAGAAAUGGUAGCUAAUACCGGAUACGACCCUCGGUGGCAUCACCAGGGGGUGGAAAGAAUUUCGGUCAAGGAUGGACUCGCGGCCUAUCAGCUAGUUGGUGAGGUAACGGCUCACCAAGGCGACGACGGGUAGCCGGCCUGAGAGGGGGACCGGCCACACUGGGACUGAGACACGGCCCAGACUCCUACGGGAGGCAGCAGUGGGGAAUAUUGCACAAUGGGCGCAAGCCUGAUGCAGCGACGCCGCGUGAGGGAUGACGGCCUUCGGGUUGUAAACCUCUUUCAGCACCGACGAAGCGCAAGUGACGGUAGGUGCAGAAGAAGGACCGGCCAACUACGUGCCAGCCGCCGCCGUAA
rnacentral:rRNA from 1 species